UACGUAGGGUGCAGGCGUUAAUCGGAAUUACUGGGCGUAAAGCGUGCGCAGGCGGUUCGCUGUGUCCGAUGUGAAAGCCCCGGGCUUAACCUGGGAAUGGCAUUGGAAACUGGCGGGCUUGAGUGUGGCAGAGGGGGGUGGAAUUCCUGGUGUAGCGGUGAAAUGCGCAGAUAUCAGGAGGAACACCGGUGGCGAAGGCGGGUCUCUGGGCCGAUACUGACACUGAGGAGCGAAAGCGUGGGGAGCGAACAGG
rnacentral:rRNA from 1 species